ACCAUUUUUCCAGACAGCACUCCACAUUGCGUCUAAUCCUGUCUACCAUGAAAGGACUAAACAUAUUGAGGUUGAUUGCCACUUUAUACGAGAGAAGGUCGCAUCCGGAGACAUUGUUACCACAUUUGUUGGGUCAAAUGAUCAACUUGUUGAU